GACGAACGCUGGCGGCGUGCCUAAUACAUGCAAGUCGAACGCUGAAGGAGGAGCUUGCUUCUCUGGAUGAGUUGCGAACGGGUGAGUAACGCGUAGGUAACCUGCCUGGUAGCGGGGGAUAACUAUUGGAAACGAUAGCUAAUACCGCAUAAUAGUAGAUGUCGCAUGACAUUUGCUUAAAAGGUGCAAUUGCAUCACUACCAGAUGGACCUGCGUUGUAUUAGCUAGUUGGUGAGGUAACGGCUCACCAAGGCAACGAUACAUAGCCGACCUGAGAGGGUGAUCGGCCACACUGGGACUGAGACACGGCCCAGACUCCUACGGGAGGCAGCAGUAGGGAAUCUUCGGCAAUGGACGGAAGUCUGACCGAGCAACGCCGCGUGAGUGAAGAAGGUUUUCGGAUCGUAAAGCUCUGUUGUAAGAGAAGAACGAGUGUGAGAGUGGAAAGUUCACACUGUGACGGUAUCUUACCAGAAAGGGACGGCUAACUACGU
rnacentral:rRNA from 1 species